UUUACGGGUACCAUGAGGAUUUUUCAUGCAUUUAAACGACAGAAGUACAAGCGAACAGAUGACACAUUAAAGUGGCUGCAGAAGCUUGAAAAGUUAGAUAGAGCAGGGACAGUCAAAACUGUGGGAUAAUACUUCUAUGGUGUCCAACAUGUUUAGUCAGGUUGACAGAAGUGAAAGAUGGUCUGAUGGUACAAUGAUGUACAAAUGAUACUCUUUAACAAGUUUAACAUGUCAAAGUGUAAAAUGUUCUGUGGAUUCAUAUGAUGAGAAUGCCAAUGUUGAUCUGUAUGACUUAAUUAAACACAGAUAUUGAUACAUUCAGGUAAUUGUUUACAAUAUUCAAAGAGUUACAAUGUAAUUCAGUUAUUGAUUUGGCAUAUAUCACUUCAAGAAGCUUGUGUAAAGUUUGUUUCACAUGAGACCAAGGGUCAAGUAUGAUAUAUAAACUUUACACUUACAAAAAGAAAUUAUACAGUACCGAAUAAUUACAGACUUAUGAAUGUAACUUU
rnacentral:lncRNA from 1 species